rnacentral:rRNA from 1 species
AUGCGGCCAGCGCCGGUGCUCGCCGCCGGCGGCAGGACGCUCGGAAACAUUCUCUCCGCCACGGAGUGGAUGCUUCCCUCCCCGGCCACCCAAGUCCACACCAUCUCCGUCCUCCCCUCCCACUCACCGUCCCCUGCUCCCCAGUUCGCCUUCUCCAACCUCACCACCGCGCUGAAGAGCAGCGGCGGCAAAGGGGACGAGCAGGGGAUCUUCAACGUGGUGCGGGACGACCUCCUCCAUCCCCUCGCCAACGGUAACAAGGCCCGGAAGCUCGACGCCCUCCUGCCGCUCCUCCGCCGCCGGGGUGCCACCGACGUGAUAACAUGCGGGGGUUGCCAGAGCGCCCAUGCAGCAGCCGUCGCGGUCCAUUGUGCAGAAUGGGGAAUCAGGCCACACCUACUGCUGAGAGGAGAGCAGCUAGAUGUGCCGACAGGCUACAAUUUGAUCUCUUUGAUGUUUGGCAACGUGACCUAUGCAUCUCGGUCGGUCUAUGCACAUCGAGAUGAGAUGCUUUAUGAGCAUGCCAAGAAGGUUGCCGGUACCGGCGGUUCGGUUCUGUGGGCUGAUGAUAUCGUCAGAGAUGAUUUAAGUGUGGAUGAAGAGACUGUUCUUGAAAACGAUUCCAGAAGGGUGGUGAUUAUUAAGGAAGGGGCUGGUACUGUUCAAGCGUUACUAGGUGUUAUACGACUGGUGGAGCACCUCUCUAGUUUGUCGUCGUUUCAUAAUGAUGAGGAAGUCCAUGUUGUGGUGGAUGCUGGGACAGGCACAACAGCUGUUGGGUUAGCUCUUGGAGCGGUAUGUCUAGGACUUAAUUGGAGGGUUACUGCUGUCAUGCUUGCUGAUACACUUGAAAGAUAUCAAGAACAGGAGAAGUCCCUGAUAUCUGAUUUUAAGGGGCUUUGCCAUGAAGACUGCCAUCACAUGGUCGGAACAGAUGGUCUGGUUCAUUGGGUGGACCGCUUUUCGCCGAGAAGAUUCGGCAAGGUGCUGGGAGGCGAAAUCGCGUCGUGCCGGCAGGUGGCUCAGCAAACGGGCAUCCUGCUGGAUCCCGUGUACACCUUGGCCGCCUGGGAGCAGGCCGUGGAUCUGUGCCGCGGAGACGGCAGAGGGGCCAAAGUGGCCAUGAUCCACAGCGGCGGAACCCUGGGCCUGUUCGGACUGGCGCAAAGGUAUUCCCAACACUUCGCCGCGACCGCGAACGGGCAAGCUUGA